rnacentral:lncRNA from 1 species
CAGAGGAGCGGAGCCUGCACAACUUCUUUGCCAAUCGGGACAAGAAGAAGAAGGAGCAGAGCAACCGGGCGGCGAGUUCCGCGGGCGCAGCAGGCAGCGCGGCGGGAGCAGUGGAGCUCCGCAUUCUAGAGGGCGGCGGGGCGGGCGCAGGGACCUGGCUGGGCGAAGGCAGGACCGCGAGUGCGGAGGCUGCGGGCCCAGGGGCCACCACCAAGGCUGUGAAGAAUGGAAAGGCUUGGAGUAAAAAGAGGUUGAUUACAGAGGCCUGGGGGUUCAGGCAAUGCAAAUAAGUGAAAAGGAAGAAGAUAUUGAAGAGACAAGAUCCAGGUGAUAACUGGGAAGAAGGCGGAGGUGGUGGUGAUACAGAAAAAUCUUCAGGUCCCUGGAAUAAAACAGCUCUGGUACAAGCACCUCUUGCUCCAGUAAUUGUUACAGAAACCCCAGAACUGGCAAUGACUAGUGGUGUGUGUGUGUGUAGGCCUCCUGGGGCCAGGUUAACCACAACAAGGAAAACACCACAAGGACCACCAGAAAUCUACAGCAAUACACAGUUCCCAUCCCUGCAGUCAACUGCCAAGCACAUAGAAAGCUGGAAGGAUAAAGAAAUGGAGAAGAGCUUUCAAGUAAUAAGACACAAAAAUAGAGGUAGGGAUGAAGUUUCAAAAAACCAGGCCCUUAAACUUCAGCUAGACAACCAGUAUGCUGUGCUUGAAAAUCAGAAAAGGAGUCACUCACAAUA